rnacentral:rRNA from 1 species
UACGUAGGGGGGCAAGCGUUGUCCGGAUUUAUUGGGCGUAAAGAGCGUGUAGGCGGCUUUACAGGUCCGUUGUGAAAACUCGAGGCUCAACCUCGAGACGCCGGUGGAAACCGUAAAGCUAGAGUCCGGAAGAGGCGAGUGGAAUUCCUGGUGUAGCGGUGAAAUGCGCAGAUAAUCAGGAGGAACACCAAUGGCGAAGGCAGCUCGCUGGGGACGUGACUGACGCUGAGACGCGAAAGCGUGGGGAGCAAACAGG